GAUGAAGAACGUAGCGAAAUGCGAUAAGUAAUGUGAAUUGCAGAAUUCAGUGAAUCAUCGAAUCUUUGAACGCACAUUGCGCCCGCCAGUAUUCUGGCGGGCAUGCCUGUUCGAGCGUCAUUUCAACCAUCAAGCCCCCGGCUUGUGUUGGGGACCUGCGGCUGCCGCAGGCCCUGAAAACCAGUGGCGGGCUCGCUAGUCACUCCGAGCGUAGUAAUACAUCUCGCUCAGGGCGUGCUGCGGGUUCCGGCCGUUAAAAAGCCUUAUUUACCCAAGGUUGACCUCGGAUCAGGUAGGAAGACCCGCUGAACUUAAGCAUAUCAAUAACGAGGA
rnacentral:misc_RNA from 1 species